UUGAAAGGGAAACGAUUGAAGUCAGUCGUACCUAUGGGUAAUCAGCCUUUUGGGUGUGAUUUUGUGGAGCGUGAUGAGUUAAACGCCUUCAUGCCUGCAUAUUCGUGCACUUUGGGUGUACUUGCCCGUGUGUAAGUUAACAUCAAUUUUGGUGGUCAUAAAAUGGCUGGAGGAAUGUAGCUUCGAUCUUGUAUUGAAGUGUUAUAGCCUUCGGUAGAUGUGACGAUCGGGAUUGAGGAUUGCAACGGAUACCCUUCGGGGCUACCUGUCUGAUCUCUGAUUGUUGCUCUGGUGCCGAAAGCUUGCUUACGGUUAUUAAAGUCGAUGAUCAAUAGGUUAGAAUGGGUUAAAUUCGUUAAG
rnacentral:rRNA from 1 species